CUCAGAGUCAGGCCAGGGGUGGGGAGCUGGUGGAGUACUUCCCUGGUGAGAGCAUCACUGCCACGUGGUCCUUGUCCCCACAUGUUCUCACCUGAGGCCAGUGAAAGUCACACACCACGCUGUCCACGCAGCCGAGACCCUGGCCUAUCCCACAGCCUUCAGAUUUCUCCAAACACCAAGGCCAGUAACUGCAUGUCUUGAUCCACAGGUCCCGUUCAGAUGCAAAGUCCACACUGCCCAUCACUGAGAGAGAUGCAGAAGGACGCGGAAAAUGUCGGGAAGCGGGGACGGCCCAGCGCCGGGCUGCAGCUCGGGACUCAGAGCAGGUGGGUGCACCGUGGCCUGGUCAGGCUGACAACCGGCUACGGAUUUCCCACUGAGACCCAGGACCCCGUACAGGCCUUCAGCCUUCCUGCACCUGCGUGGACCCCCUGCCAGUCCCCUGUGGUCUCGGUGGAUGUCACAGGUCCUCCCUCUGUUUUCACACAAAGUGUGUUCAUGGAGAAGGAUGCUUUGUCAGAAGCUGAGCCUACACUUCAAAACACAGCGAAUUAGAAUCAGUAGACCAGAGCUUAAGACUGAAAAUGGCUUCCAGGCACACAAACCCCUCAGCAUUUCUUCACUGCCAUCUGAGUCCUGGCUGUAAUGAUGACAAUGAAUUCACAGAAGCAGAGAGAAAAAUGUCGACUUAUUGAUUUGCUAUUUAAAACAGAGUAACUAAACCAGAAUGGGAAAAGUCAGUCCAUAUUUGCUUUCUGCCAGUUGUACCUUUGGGGCCACCCCAAGAGAUGCUGUGCUUAGGAGUCCCUUGAGAAUCCGACUUCCAGUUUGUAGAAGCAGAGAGCGGCGGCAGGGCAAGGGGUAGUGGGAGAUGUGGUCAGGAGCUCAGCGGUUGCGUCAGGAGGAGUGAGUUGGAGAUCUCUCCCGCCUGGUGCCUGGCGUGGGCUGUAGUUAACUAUAACAUACUGUGGAAUUCACAGUUGCUGAAAGAAUCGACUUUUAAACAAACAUCUCACUCCAAGACUAAGUGGUGAGGUAGGUGGCAAGUUGAUUACCUUGAUAUGUAAAAUACACCAAAACAUCAGGUUUUACCACACAGAUACAUGCGGUUAGUUGUCAACUGAAGUCUAAACUAAAGUUGCUUGUACACACACUGGGGCCAUCCGGAUCAGUCCCCUCCUGCCACAUGUGCAGAGCAGGGGAGAAAAGGUGCCCCGUGCCUUAGGUGAGCGCAGCCCUUGGGGUCUGCCGUGGAGCAGGAGGACCUGCAGCUGCCCAGGCGCUCACCCACUUGUAGCGAGGGCUUCUCUGAGCUGCGCCCCCCGGCGGUGCUCUCCUGCCCCGAGCUGCCCACCCUACAGGGUCAGGCUGACUGACAGAAGGUGCUUCUGCUCAAGCCUGGCCCACGAGGACUGCGCUCACCAUGCCUUCCCUCCCCAGGAGCCGGCCUCUGGGUCCCAGAUCCCACUCUGUGAGUAGCAGCCCUCGCAGCUCGGGAAUGCCAGCGUCCUCAAGCACAGGUCCCAGGUUGCCUCGCUCAGACCCUUGCUGCACACUGGUGUGGGAACCCUCAGCAGCCUGAUGGGAAGCAGGAUGGCUCAUCUCGCUGGUCCCUGGUGACCUUGACUCCUGCUCCAGGUGCCCCUAUGAAGAGUGUGCUUCUCUGGGAGCAAAAUCAGUUGGGAGUUUGCUCUGAGCUUCCCAGGAGAGGAGCUAGAGAAGGCCCGGGACCCCCCAGGCUGCCCACUCCUGCUGAACCAGGAGACUCUAGGUGCAAAACAGUUCUGCUCAAAUGUCCCCCCAAGACCGUUCGCCCAAUACAGGCAAAUCUGG
rnacentral:lncRNA from 1 species